GACGAACGCUGGCGGCGUGCCUAAUACAUGCAAGUCGAGCGGACGGAUGGGAGCUUGCUCCCAGACCGUCAGCGGCGGACGGGUGAGUAACACGUGGGCAACCUGCCUGUAAGACUGGGAUAACUCCGGGAAACCGGGGCUAAUACCGGAUAACUCUUUCCCUCACAUGAGGGAAAGCUGAAAGAUGGCAUCUCGCUAUCACUUACAGAUGGGCCCGCGGCGCAUUAGCUAGUUGGUGAGGUAACGGCUCACCAAGGCGACGAUGCGUAGCCGACCUGAGAGGGUGAUCGGCCACACUGGGACUGAGACACGGCCCAGACUCCUACGGGAGGCAGCAGUAGGGAAUCGUCCGCAAUGGACGAAAGUCUGACGGAGCAACGCCGCGUGAGUGAUGAAGGUUUUCGGAUCGUAAAACUCUGUUGUCAGGGAAGAACAAGUACCGGAGUAACUGCCGGUACCUUGACGGUACCUGACCAGAAAGCCACGGCUAACUACGUG
rnacentral:rRNA from 1 species